rnacentral:lncRNA from 1 species
UUUUCUCAAAUACCCUAAUAUACGCCUGCAUUACGCCACCGUUCCUCCGAUGUCUCCCACCAUUCACUGACGGUCGAAAAUUGCCUCCGCCGGCUGCAGUGCUCUCCAAAAACUACACCACCUCAUCUCCUCAACCUCCUCUUUCCAUUUCUGCCAUUUGUGUCCCCCGAACAUUAGCCAGUCUCGUCAAAUAUUUGUUUUAAUCGAUGGCUGCUCCGACGCACACAGUGGCACCGACGCCAAAUGACUCCAAAAGAACACCAUAGGUUCUCCUAAC